rnacentral:rRNA from 1 species
GUGGGGAAUCUUCCGCAAUGGACGAACGUCUGACGGAGCAACGCCGCGUGAGUGAAGAAGGUUUUCGGAUCGUAAAGCUCUUUCGUUAGGGACGAACGUGCUCUUUGUGAAUAAUGAGGAGUAAUGACGGUACCUAAAUAAGAAGACACGGCUAACUACGUGCCAGCAUCCGCGGUAAUACGUAGGUGGCAAGCGUUGUCCGGAAUUAUUGGGCGUAUAUCGCGCGCAGGCGGGCUAUCAAGUCUGUCCUAAAAGUGCGAGGCUCAACCUCGUGAGGGGACAGAAACUGGUAUUCUUGAAUGUCGGAGAGUAAAGUGGAAUUCCAAGUGUAGCGGUGAAAUGCGUAGAGAUUUGGAAGAACACCAGUGGCGAAGGCGACUUUCUGGACGAAAACUGACGCUGAGGCGCGAAAGCCAGUGGAGCGAACGGGAUUAGAAACCCUAGUAUCC